ensembl:snRNA U6 U6 spliceosomal RNA
GUACUCGCUUUGGCAGCACAUAUAUUAAAAUUGGAAAGAUACAGAGAAGAUGAGCACGGCCCCUGCACAAGGGUGACAUGCAAAUUCAUGAAGCAUUCCAUAUUUUU